AACAGAAAAGAGAAGAGUUCACCCUUAUACAGACAAGCAGCUUAGACAGAGCAAGCAGAGCAUCGGGCAAACGCUAAAAGGCUUGGAGGACCUGGAUAUCCUGGUGGAGGUGCUGCAGGAAGACCUGAACAAAAGCCAGCUGAAGAAGGAAUCUCUGCGUGCUGAGCCCGAUGGCUUUUGGCAGGGCUUCCCUGCAGAGCUGCAGGCCCCUUGGUGGGGAGCUGGAGGAAGCAAGCAGGCAGCUGGCAGCGUGCAGGAAAGGUGCCAAAGCUUCACCAAGCUGCGUUCUCAUUGUUGCUUUACAGACUGCAGCUUGGCAUUGCAGGAAGAGGUAGAGAGCUCCUUUUGUGAUGGUCAGAAAGACAUGCAUGAGCCUGAUUCACCAGCAACGUUCUCAAGGACAAGGGAGAAAGAGAGCAGCUGGUGGAUGCAGGGCGUGGGUAGCAGCACCCAGAAGGACUGCUGGGCACACCCUGCACAGAGCACAUCUCCCUGCUUCGAUCCACCAGGAGCCCAUCCAGAGCCAUUUGUGGAGGCUGACAGCGACUCUUUGGGUUCCAGGGGAUGCUCGAGGCAGACCUCGAUUGCUUUCACGCAGCAGGAUCUCUCCGCCCUCUCUUUCUUCCAGUUCCAGCUACACAGGGAGGAAAGCUUGCUGAGGAAUAUUCCAGCAGACAAACUGCUUGCGCCUGAUGAAAAUGGCAACAGGCUGCUGCACAAGGCUGUUGCUCAGGGAAGAAGAGCUCUGACUUACGCGCUAGCACGGAGAUUUGCAUCCCUAAAUAAAAUUGACGAGAAGGAUGCAGAGAAACGGACAGCACUACAUCUUGCUGCAGAAAAGAACCAGCACCUGAUGGUCAGUGACCUUAUAUCCCUGGGGGCAAACGUCAACGAGCAGGAUGGGCGGGGGAAAACCCCACUCCACCUGUGUGCAGAGAAUGGGUACCUGCGGGUUUUAGAGGUGCGUUGAUCGCUGCUGCUGUGCAGUGGGAUGUGCAAAAGAUGGAGCAAAAGUCAGAUGCGCACUCUUUUGUUUAAAAUAGACGAGGGUUUUAUGAAACCUGGAAGUUACCUUUGGUCUGAUGUUGGUAAUGUGAGAUAGAAUAAGGGCAUCUGGGCCCAAAUCAGGAUUUAUCGUCUCAAAGUCUUCUUGAUUUCAGGUUUUGAAAAACUGCAAAGACAACGGUGUGUGUGUAGCAGUGAACCUGACGGACCAUUGCGGUAAGAGGAAACGCUUCACCAUUUGGAUGCUUUGUGUCAGAAGCUUCAAACAACAGAUUUUACCCGGGCCAAAGGAUGAUCAAUUUGGCAUUCGAACUGCCUGCCCUUAGGGCUGUCAGCUCGGUGUGGGGUGGUUCCUGCAGUGCAGGUGGAUGUGUCUGACUGCUCCGUGGUUUCUGUUCAGGUUUAACACCACUGCACUGUGCUGCUCUUGCUCACACCAUCUUAGCCAUGGAAUCUCAAAAAACCGACAGCGGCAGUGACAUGGGGAGGUUCCUCAAACUACGCAAGGACCAAAUUCUCGAGGGAAUUAACUGCUUAUUGCACAUGGGAGGAAAGCCAGAGCUGCAGGUACUACAUUCGUGUCAAACUUCUGCUCCCUAUUUAAAAAUUGAGGAGAACACCGAGCUGAUGUGUUUGCUCCAGACUCAUAAACCCAAGGAACAGGACAUUCUUCAAGAGAGUAAUGGUUUGCUGGAAGCUCCAGGAGUGCAGUGUCCCUCACCACCAGAUCACUUCUCUGAACUUCUGUCCGUUUCACCUUUGGACUUUGUUGACAUCAUUCUUAAAGGGAAAUGCUGAUAAGGCUCGUUAUCUGCAUCUCGUGGUCCGUGUGCUGCAGCUGUUGCUGAAGAAUAGGCCAAGAACAGACAGUAAAAGUCUUCAAAAGUAUUACAGCUUGAAUUGACUGUUGAAAAUAUCUCCUCGGUACCCAGCAUAAAAGUAAACUGUUCAGGGCAAAUCCUUAGACACGCAGUGUUAGAUGCUCCAGUGAAUGAAUUGGUCUUAAUUUUCUCCUGAAGCUGAGCACUAGCACUGCUUUUUGGAGGUCCAUUGGAACUGUAGAUGUUCUGCUUUCCCAAUGUCUGAAUUUUUUUAUGCAGCUACCAUUGGUUAAGAGGAAAACCUUAUAUUUUAGCCCUUAAGGGCCUAGUCCUGAUGGUACCAAUGUAAGGUCAGUCUCUGCAGUCUGAAUUCAAUGGCACUGGAAAAAGAUAACAUCAAAAUCCCCCCCCCCAAAAAAAGAAAGACUAAAAACCAAAGCACAACACACAGCUAUGCUGUUACUGAGCAGAUUUUUUCAACAAAAGUCGAGCUGAUUAUCUAUGCAAUCAGAAUUUGCUACCGGUAAUGGACUUUAGGUGAAGUCUGGGAUGUAAAACGUUUUGAAUCGGUUUAUUUGUAUGAUCUAACAGAGGAAUACAGCUUUAUAAAAUGUAGGUCUGUAAGAAUACUUCACAACAAUAAGUUGUUAGACCGAGCAGCUUUGCCUAAAAAAUUUUCAACUGCCAGAUAUGGAAGUAUUCAAUGGGAUUCCUAGAAAUUAGGUAAUUAAUGUAACGACAAUUCUCUUCCCAGAUGUAAUAUCAUUUAAUUUUAACUUCUGAUUGUGAAUUAGCUGGUUUCUAUGAAACUUCCCUGUUUGCUACAUAUGGAGCAAUCUACAUUUACCUAGCUACAAAAUGAUUGAUCCAGCAAUCAACUCACAAAUGUACCUCCCAUUAAAGUAAAUCGGGAGAUUUUUCACGUGUCACAUUGCAGGAUCCAGCACUGAGUACUCAGCACGCUUGGGGAACUGAUCUUUAAUGAUCUCUUUGAAUUUUCUUGUCAAAAGGUUUCUUUUACUUCUUCUUGGGUAUCCUUAAGUGUUAAGCUCCAAGAGCUAUGUUGCACAACAUGAAGCAAGUUUUGCUGAAAAGUGACAGUGUUUAAGUUCAGUGGGAUUUUGGUCCUAUCUUAUGUUUCUCAUGUUCUGAACUGCUGAUCAGGGUUGCAUUCAUGUAUGUUCAGAUUCUUGGGUCUGAAUGAGACCUACAUCAAGAUUCUUAUGCGUAUCUUACAAUUUUGUGUUGCUAUUCACAUAAUGGGUUGUAAAGCACUGAACAUCCCCCUCCUCCCACAGGUGUUCUGCAUGCUUUAAUCCUUUCCCCUUUUGGGUUUCACAUGGAAAUACAAAGAUUUUCCUCUUCUGCUUUGAGGUGAAGAUCCCCUCUAUUACCCCUCUAUUACCACUCAUUCCUCCUUCAUGCUGGCAUUUUAACUCACAUCUGAGCUCACAGCCCUUUGUCAUGUGAAGAGAAUUAAUGAGGAUCUUCUAAGUGGUUCAGCUUUCAUUGGUGGGAUUUACGGAUCAGAUCCAAAACUCACUGAAACUGAAGACCCUUUAUGUAAAGUAAAAACUAAGAGAUGCUGCAUCGCAAACAAAAUGAACAGUGAUGAUACAGUGAACAUAGAAGAGCAUCAAUAAGCAUUUUAAGUGAAUAAAUAAUGAUUAUUUUUAUGGGAUAUCUUUAAAAAGUGUAGAAAUCUACUCUAUAAGAAUUCAACUUUAAUCAAGGAGGACGUGAGCCUUAACCUAUUGUUUAUUCAACAUAUGCUAAACUGAACUAGCCUAUGAAAUAUAUUCUAUGAGUUAUAUCUUAAUUGCAUUACCGUUAGUAGGUGUGCUUUACGUUGCUUCAUUGUUCCUUCUUCAAUAAAUACAUGAUUUCAUGCUGUAUGAAGCUUUCUGAUUUGUACGAACCGCUCUUGCUGUAACACACUCGUGGCAGAAGGGGUGAAGAAACUGGGAGGAAGUAAGAGGCUGAUGAGUGUGUAAGGGUGGGCAGAAGGGCAAAGAUACCUGCCAGCACCCAAAGGGCUCUGCAAGC